UUUCAGCCUAUAGAGAUACCGAUAUUGCCGAUAAUACCUCAUAGGACCGCCGGGCUUAUAAUGAACCCGGCGGUCCUAGGAGGUAUUAUCGGCAAUAUCAGGAAGG